UUUGGUUUAGACUGUAAGCUAACAGUUGCAACAGGUCUCGUACUGCCGGAGCACCACCAGCUUCCCAUGAACACAUGUGUGCCGCGCUUACAUGUUUAUCGUGUAUUGUGUGCGUUUAUUGCGUGCUUAUCGUACGCGACAUUCGUCGACUGGGAAUUUCCGCGUGUUGGGGCGUUCUCCUGCCUUGAUCCAGUGGCGGAUGAUGGUCGUUGUUCGUUGCCACUCAACACAGCCUCACGGGACGCACAGCUUUGUGUCCGCGCUCAAAAGUGCUUUCUUGCUUCGUUCAUCGAUUACUCACGUUGAUCGAGUGAUCGAGUGUACUUCCGAAGACAAUCCGCGUCCGAGUGUUUUGACAAGCGGCGACCGCGGUUCCACAGGAGCGGAAGCUUGAGCCUUUUGACGAGCGACUGUGCCAAACUUGGGUAAGUUGAAGAAGGUCGCUGAACUACGUAACUUUGUUACUUCGUUGCAUGACAACUGUUUGCAGGAACCGUCGUGUUGGCACAGCGAGGAUGAUCAACAGAUACCCGAUAGGCAGCGAUGAGAGCUGUUCAUGGCACUGACACAGAGGACAGAUUGCAGUACAAGAUAGGAGCAUACUUCCUGCAAGCCCGGGCAAGCCAUAAUGAGUGGUUUCAAAUACAGCAACUGUACCACCACAACAGUGCAGCACAGGAGAGCC